rnacentral:rRNA from 1 species
UACGGAGGGGGCUAGCGUUGUUCGGAAUUACUGGGCGUAAAGCGCACGUAGGCGGAUUGUUAAGUCGGGGGUGAAAUCCUGGAGCUCAACUCCAGAACUGCCUUCGAUACUGGCGAUCUCGAGUUCGGGAGAGGUGAGUGGAACUGCGAGUGUAGAGGUGAAAUUCGUAGAUAUUAGGAAGAACACCGGUGGCGAAGGCGGCCCACUGGUCCGGUACUGACGCUGAGGUGCGAAAGCGUGGGGAGCAAACAGG